GGUCACGAGCACACAACAUUUGUUUAGUGACCCAUCAUCACAUGGCACAUGUCUGUGUUGCAUGCAUGCGUGGUUGUGUGUAUACGUCAGUCUAACACUUACCAAGUCUCAAACCCCUUUCAGCACUUACUCUAAUGUCAGACCUCUCACUAGCCUUGAUAUCAAGCAGGAUUACCCUCAAUGCAUCUGAUGCCUCCACAGAGUCCAGUGACAGUGGUCCAACCAUUUCGGUCUCAGGCUAAAAACACUGCUCGAUUAAGGUCAGGGACGUGCAGGUUCCUCCUCAUGUGAAUGACGGUAUUCUGGAAGGACUUCGGGUAAUGCACUUGUCCUUCCAAUGCUCUGACAACCGAGUGCUGAAAAGGGGAAGGGUAACUAUCGUCCAAUGUUUGGCUUUACCGUUGAUUUCCACUGGAACACCCAGCUAGCAGAAAACAUUAUUACAAGGUUCAUACUUUCCUUUCUUUCCACUGCUGAAGAACUCAUAAUUGAAAAACAGAUGGUGUGUUUCCAUGGGUAUGAAUUCAUCAGUUUGAUUUUACACUCUAAAAAUUGUUCAGUGGUUAAGAAUUUGGACUUCUGACUUCUGAAUUUCCUCAACCCUCUACUGCUCAGAUGUAUAAAUGGUUCGGGGUUCGAUUCCCACCGUGGUCCUGUGUGUGCGGAGUUUGCAUGUUCUCCCCGUGCUGCGGUGGUUUCCUCCGGGUACUCCGGUUUCCUCCCCCAGUCCAAAGAAAUGCAUGGUAGGCUGACUGUCAUGGCCAAAGUGUCCGUAGUGUAUGAAUGGGAAUGUGAUUGUGCCCUGCGAUGGAUUGGCACCCUGUCCAGGGUGUACCCCGCCUUGUGCCCCAUGCUUCCUGGGACAGGCUCCGGGUUUCCCCGUAACCCUGAAAAGAAUAAAGCGGUAUAGAAGAUGGAUAGAUGGGUGACCUAUUAUGUAAGCAGAUCUGGACACGCAGGGAACUUUUUAUCAACUUUUAUCUCUUCCUUAUUUCCCUGCUCACCGCCUGCCAACAUCAAGGCCUUGGUCACCCAGUUGGAUACAGUGAGGUACAACAAAGCAACAUCCCCAUUAACCUAUACACAGGUCUGAUAUAUAAUAUUAAACUAUAUCUACUCCAAUCACUCAGUACACAGAUAGUCUCAGUACAUUUAAAGUUAUAAAUAAUUGAUUUGUCCCAUAUAUAUAUAUUGCCUUGAUGUUUUGGGGACACAAAAAUAGAUAUCAAUGGUCUAGGGCCCCAAAUGUCACUUCUUCUAAGACCUACCAUGUCACCGCCAAUUACCCCCACUGAAAUUCCUCAAAUGGAUAAAGGAGUCCUAAAAGAACCCCAAGACCUUCCUGAGGAGUUCAGUAAAAACCAAAGCUGCCAAACUAUCUCUCUAUUGACCAUGGUUUUAAUAUGAGAAGCUUAUCACUGCCUGAAACUUGAGCAAUGAAGAUAUAAAUCAAGAAAACACCCAAGCUACGCUCUUAGAAAGAAAAAAAGAUUCAUCAGGAGUGUGUUAGAUAGAUAGGAUUCUUAUCUCUAUGAAUGACUUCUCGGGUUCUAUGGUUAUUUUUUAGUAUUCCCCCAUAGGGACAAACUGAAGAAUGCUUAAGGGUGAUGCUUAAAAAAUAUGAAACAUUUUCUACCUAAGAGUGUGUUACACAUGCACUUUUACAUCCCCAAUAAAACAAGGUAUUUUCAGUAUUCAAGGUCUGCAUUCCUUUUCUGAAAUAUCUCUAUACAAUAUGACAAUAUGUUUCCAAAGAAGGAUUUACAUAUUGCAUAUGUACAUAUAAUUUACAUUCAAUAGUACUUUAAGUUACUAUGAAUAUUUAGUGAUGACAUUUGGUGGGAUGAAUGCCCCCUAGUACGUCCAGUGCACUCAAUUCUAUGUCAAGUGCUCAUAUGUCUAAUGGAAAAUGACCUCAGUGUGAAACUUCAGAAAGGUCAAUUCCAUAACCCACCAUACUGCUUCUCAAAUAUAUUCUCAGCAUGCAGGGUGUACAAAUGAAACAUAGCAAAGUUAAAUUUAAGUUUUAAGUGGUCUUUUGCUAUUGAGGUGUGUGGUGUCAUCAUGCCAAAAUCUAAAGAGUUCUGUAAGGCCUUCAGAAAAAAAGUUGUGAAUGCCUAUGAGUGGUGCAGAUUUCAGGACUGGCCAACACCACAAAUUCAGCCCAACAGCAGACUGUCUGAUGUAAAAAGAAGUCUCUAAGAACCCCAAAAUUUCAUCACAUUACCUGCUAUUAAGUCGUGCAGCUGUUGGUGUCAAAGUGCAGGCUUCUACAAUCAGAGACUGCACAAAUUUGACCUGCAUGGGGGGCGUUCCAGGAAAAAGCCUUUGCAAGACUA